GAUGGAAAACACAGGCCAGAAAUGAAAAUAGUGUUUUCCUUCCAUUGCAGAUCUGAAAUCUGUGUUUUCUAGGCCAGCAUGUACAGCUGACUUAUUUGUAAGCUCAUUUGCGUUGUUGAAAUCCCAGUGUAACUAUGGUCUUAAAGAGAGAUUUCCACCCCUAAUUAGAGUUAAUAGUCCACAAGGAAUUGAUGACCUUAGUUUUCAUUAGAUUGCAAAGUUUAUUUGUAGUGAAAGAAGAACUAAUGAUACAUCUUUUUGACAUUAAUGUAUAAAAUUUUGUUUAUUUUUUUUAAAGUGUGAUUAUUUUUAGGACACUGAAAGAAACCAUCAUAUUGUAUGUCCUCUAGGGAAACGCUAAUGACAUGAAGCAAGCAAGAGACAAAGAAUUGUUGCCACCUGGUUGAAAUUUUUUCCAUGUAGUCAAUUAUUUAACAGAAAGAUUUCUCUUUUGCUUCUUAAACUUGUCUGAAGUCAGUUGUCUUUGCUUCCCUUGGCUAUCUGGCUCAGACUGAGAAACCAGCCCAUUGCAAAAGAGUCUUCAAAACAAUGUCAGGGUGAAAAUUAGUCAAAUGAUGAAGAGACACAAAGGGACGAAAUCCUUCUCAUGUCAAGGCUUAUAACUCAUGGCUGUGGGAAAGUUUAACUUUUCUAAUUUUAAUGUUUACGCUGCAUUUUUAGAUAGAAUGUCAGCAGGAGUAUGUCCAGAGGAUUUGGCGAGAGGAUCAUCUGGACAAUAGCAAUACAUUUGGACUUCCCCUUAAUAUAGUUUGCAAACAACUUAUUUCCAUCAACAAUAGCUGCCCGGCUUCAAAAAAUGUUUAUCUGCUGGAGUUCCACCCUUCCCUCAGCCUGGUAGCGCUUAUCCCCAAAGCCCUAGAGCAUCUCUUCCAAGAGGCCUGCCAUGCCUACAGACCCACAUCAGCCAUUGGCCUCGCCUCCCUGGAGUGACAUGUCCUGCAGCUGACCUGGGCCUGUGGCUCACCCCAGCCACGCCUGAGGCCUGCUACAGUGCACAGCUCCAGAAAGAUGUACGUUCUUUUUGAAGGGGAUAGUUGGGUCCUUGGCAGGGAGAAUUUUUUUUUUCCAGAUGUUACUGUUUAGCUUUGUUUUUCUGUUUGGCUCUAUUCCCCCAUUAUUUGGCUAGAGACAGAGCUCAGUCAUAAGCCUUGCCAAUAGUUUUAUGUGAUUUUUUGGGGGAUGGGGUCAAAGUUUCUCAUUUGUAAAGAUACUGCUACAAUUAAAAUUUAAAAGGUGAUAUAUGUGGGUAUGUGGGAAAUGUUUUCUGGUUUAUUAUUUAUAUUUUAACAAAUACAUUUUAAUUAAAACUGUUAUAUUUUCUUUCCACUAAGACACUUCCUAAAUGUGUUCUUUUUGUCAAGAUCCGGCAGAAGACAGAAAGCAUUGAUCAGAAUUCAAGUUCAGUCCUGCCAUUCACUUGCUGUGUGACUCUGAGCAUGUCUCUUAGCCUCUCUGACCUCACUUUACUGUUUCUGUAAAAGUAUGUUUGUGUACUUGGUAGGGGAGGUAGGCGGAGGUGAGCUUGAUGACCUCUGAAGCCCCUCUCAGCUCUACUGCUCCAUGGUUCAAAUUGUGGGUUAAUGAUUUACAUGGUGUUUGUAGUUGGAUUUUAAUCCUUUUCUUUUUCUGUUAAGGCUGUCAAGGUUACCCCUGGGUUUCCAAUUUGACCUCAUUCUGUGUGCAUACUUGCUAUAUGACAAAGAAACUUUCAUAGGCCCCCCACUGCCCAAACUGUCUGCUCCAUAGGUCUGCCUUGGCCUCCUAUCCCCUCUUGACUAAAGUAAAAAUUGAUUUUAUUUUACAGUGACCAAAAUAACAUAAAAUCACAGAGAAUUCUAGCAAAAGCAGAAAGAACAAAAUUGAAUUUAAACAUUACCAAUCUAAUGCAUUCAUAUCAUUAUUUUUCUGAAUUUAAGUAUUGUUAAUAUGUGUGUUGUACAUAGCCAUAAUCAUAGUUUUUGUCCAUUGUUAUUUCCUCCUCUUCUCAGUUAACAUUAUACUACAUAUUUUUCCAUAAUGCUAACUCGUCUUAGACUUACCUUUAUGACCACAUAUAAUUCCCAUAUCUGAUGAAUAAAAACUUCUCUAAUCAUUUCUCUAUUGAUGGACAUUCAAGUGGUUUCCAAUUUUUCAUUAUCAUGAAAAAUGCUAUAAGAUAUAUAUUUUUACAUAAAGAUUUUUCCAUAUUUUGAAUUGAUUCCUUUUGAUAGGUUCUUGGAAACAGAAUUACUAAAAUAAAAUUUAAAUAUUUGGAUACAUAUUAGCAGAUUGCUUUCCAAAGAGUUGUGCCAAUUUAUAAUGACACUCAUGUAUUUUAAGAGUACCAGUUCUGCUAUACUGUGUAGUAUUAGGCAAAAGCAUGUGAUGUAU
ensembl:lncRNA